rnacentral:rRNA from 1 species
UACGUGGGCAGCGAGCGUUGUUCGGAAUUACUGGGCGUAAAGAGUGUGUAGGCGGUGCUCUAAGUUCGGUGUGAAAUCUCCCGGCUUAACUGGGAGGGUGCGCCGGAAACUGGAGUGCUCGAGCGUGGGAGAGGAAAGCGGAAUUCCUGGUGUAGCGGUGAAAUGCGUAGAUAUCAGGAGGAACACCUGCGGUGUAGACGGCUUUCUGGACCAUUGCUGACGCUGAGACACGAAAGCGUGGGUAGCAAACAGG